rnacentral:rRNA from 1 species
ACUCAAAGGAAUUGACGGGGGCCCGCACAAGCAGCGGAGCGUGUGGUUUAAUUCGAUGCAACACGAAGAACCUUACCAAGGCUUGACAUGCUGGAAGUAGCGAACCGAAAGGGGAGCCACCUGUUGAGUCAGGAGCCUGCACAGGUGCUGCAUGGCUGUCGUCAGCUCGUGCCGUGAGGUGUUGGGUUAAGUCCCCCAACGAGCGUAACCCCUGUUGCCAGUUAUAUUCUCUGGCGAGACUGCCUCGCAAAACGGGGAGGAAGGUGGGGAUGACGUCAAGUCAGCACGGCCCUUAUGCCUUGGGCUACACACACGCUACAAUGGACGGUACAAUGGGUUGCAAUGGGGUGACUCGGAGCUAAUCCAAAAAGCCGUUCUCAGUUCGGAUCGCAGGCUGAAACCCGCCUGCGUGAAGUCGGAGUUGCUAGUAACCGCGAGUCAGCAAAUUGCGGUGAAUACGUUCUCGGGCCUUGUACACACCGCCCGU